rnacentral:ribozyme from 14 species
AAAAUAUAUAUAAAAUUAGCAAAAGAAAACGUGAUGAUAUCUGAUUGUUAUGUAUCCAUUGCAUAUUUAUUGCUUCUUUUUUUUUCUUUUUGUUUC